rnacentral:rRNA from 1 species
UACGUAGGGGGCAAGCGUUGUCCGGCUUUAUUGGGCGUAAAGAGCGUGUAGGCGGCCAUACAGGUCAGCUGUGAAAACUCGAGGCUCAACCUCGAGACGUCGGUUGAAACCGUAUGGCUAGAGUCCGGAAGAGGAGAGUGGAAUUCCCGGUGUAGCGGUGAAAUGCGCAGAUAUCGGGAAGAACACCCGUGGCGAAGGCGGCUCUCUGGGACGGUACUGACGCUGAGACGCGAAAGCGUGGGGAGCGAACAGG